CUGCCCAAGAAGUUCAAGAGACUACUCUGCAGAGUUGCACUCGAAGGCACCUGCAGAAUAUUCCGGAACUUCUUCACACGCACCUAAGCACCUAAAAACAAAAACCAAAAACAUUGAUAAAAGACAAAAGACAAAAACACCACAAAACCCAAAUAAAACAAAAAAAAAAUGGCCUUGCAUGUUUGCCUGCAUGAUGCCCGAGAUCCCCCGUUAGAGGGGGAGGUCAACGUUUAUUUAUAGGCAAUCGAUGGAAUCACGUGUGGAUCAACACGGCAGCAGCUGACGUUGGACCAAUCCGGGUGGAACGCGCUCAAGAAGGGACGCCAACCAAACGCAUGGGAAGACGAAGCCGCGAAGCCGAUGGAGCCCACAAUCGAUUCCUAAGCGAACCGCUGUAAUCGGGAGAAGACGCCUAAAGACAACGGCUCCACCGGAGCCACCCCCCUGAAGCCGGGCCCUGAUCUCUGUUCCCACUACACUGUCCCCACGAUAAUUUCCCCCUAUACAUUGUUAAAAUCGGUACCGGCCGUCACCGGGCUGCAGUACUUAUGUGUAUUUACAUAUAAUUGUUGUUAUCUUACUAUGAUAAUUAAUUCAAUAAAGCACCAUUCGUGCGCGUCACUAUUAGAUCGACGAAAGCCGGCGCUCUUCGGAGUGUCCUGCAAAUACCGAAUCUAGCCAAAUGCCUCGUCAUCUAAUUAGUGACGCGUAUGAAUGGAUCAACAAGAUUCCUUCUGUCCCUAUCUACUAUCUAGCGAAACCACAGCCAAGGGAACGGGCUUGGCAAAAUCAGCGGGGAAAGAAGACCCUGUUGAGCUUGACUCUAGUCUGACUCUGUGAAGAGACAUGAAAGGUGUAGCAUAGGUGGGAGAUUGUCAAAUUGCCAUCGUUCGCGCGGUGGUCCGGUGAUCGCCAAUGAAAUACCACUACUUUGAUCGUUUCUUUACUUAUUCGGUAAAGCGAAAAAAUUGUGGCCAAUUUGGCGGUGUUUAUGUCGCUGUUGGUCAUUGUUUUCAUGUUAGAUUGAAGCUUUGUUUACAGCCGUCGCUUUGUGUCGC
rnacentral:ncRNA from 1 species